GGCCAGCGCCCGCCAGAGGACCAUCAAACUCCAGUCAGUAAACGAUGCAGUCUGAAAAACAUUUAAUAAACUAAAACUUUCAACAACGGAUCUCUUGGUUCUGGCAUCGAUGAAGAACGCAGCGAAAUGCGAUAAGUAAUGUGAAUUGCAGAAUUCAGUGAAUCAUCGAAUCUUUGAACGCACAUUGCGCCCUUUGGUAUUCCGAAGGGCAUGCCUGUUCGAGCGUCAUUACAACCCUCAAGCUCUGCUUGGUAUUGGGCACCGUCCUUUGCGGGCGCGCCUCAAAGACCUCGGCGGUGGCGUCUUGCCUCAAGCGUAGUAGAACAUACAUCUCGCUUCGGAGCGCAGGGCGUCGCCCGCCGGUCGAACCUUCUGAACUUUUCUCAAGGUUGACCUCGGAUCAUGUAGGGAUACCCGCUGAACUUAAGCAUAUCAAUAGG
rnacentral:rRNA from 1 species